UUUUCAAAUUUGUCCAACGCUUUUAAGUGCUAUUAUGUUGUAGAUCUAUCUAACAUCCAUCUAUCGCUUCACUCCUCAGACAAACAAGAAAAUACACGACCAUUUUCCGCUGUGCUUUCUUUCUCGCAAUGCCAGCGACUGAUGCAGCCUUGGAUCUUCGGCCGGCUCCGCACUCGGCCUUCUCUAUUGGAGAGUACACAUUUGCGGAUGCUGGAAACUUGGAGCACUGUGCAAAGUACUUGAACCAGACGCUCGUUACCUUCGGCUUUCCAGCGUCUCUCGAUCUCUUUGCCAAUGAUCCGGUUUCGAUCGCAAGGACUUGCAAUUGCAUUUAUUCAUUGCUUCAGCAGAGGCAGCGCGACAUUGAAUUUAGAGAGUCUGCUAAUGAACAAAGACAACGUUUGUUGUCGGAUAUAUCAAGAUUAGAGGCCAAAGUUGAGAGGCUUGAGGCACAGUUGCAAGCUAAAGAUAGAGAGAUAGCAACAAUUACCAGAACGGAAGCCAAAAAUACAGCAGCCUUUAAGGCACAGAUUGAGAAGCUACAGCAAGAAAGGGAUGAAUUUCAGAGGAUGGUGAUUGGGAAUCAGCAAGUGAGAACUCAACAAAUACAUGAAAUGAAGAAGAAGGAAAAGGAGUACAUAAAGUUGCAGGAGAGACUAAACCAAGUCUUAAUGGAGAAGAAGAAGGAAUCAAGAUCAGGAAUGGAAAUAAUGAAUUUGCUUCAGAAAGAAGGGCGGCAACGUGGAACUUGGAAUGGGAAGAAGGCAGAUAAUGAUUUCUACAAAAAGAUUGUGGAUGCCUAUGAGGCAAAAAAUCAAGAAUUGAUUGCAGAAAAUGCUGAUUUAAGAGCAUUAUUGCGAUCAAUGCAGGUAGAUAUGCGUGAUUUCUUUAAUGCCCCAAAUGGUUUGUCAAAGCAAUCCUUGCCUGUCAGUGAAAGACUUGAAAAUGAUCCCUCACAAUCUCCAUUGGUUGGGAGGACGGAUGUCUUUGACCUUCCUUUUCACAUGGCUAGGGAUCAAAUAGAAGAAAGUCUUCGCACUAAGAUGGCUUCUAUAAAGGAGCGCAUGGUUCAAUUACAAGAUGCACAAAAAGGUGCAGAAGUCACUUCUGAAGCAACAGAGAGGGAGCUUGAGCUUGAAGCUCAACUUGUUGAAGCAAGGAGCAUAAUCCAGGAGCAGGCAUCCAUUAUGUCCAAACAUCUUGCUAAGGCAGACAGACCAAGGGAAUCUAUUAUUUCAUCACCAGCUGAGGUUUUUCUUGUUGAGACUUCAUAGACUGCAGUUUGUUUAGGAGUAGCUUAUGAUGGGCUUACAUUCAUAACAUAAAAGAAACUCCUUGCUGCUAGGCGACCCCUUCCCCCCUACCCCACUGUUUUCUUGCUAAAGCUUUGAAAAAUGUAGUGUUUUUUGAAGAUCAAAGAAGCUGCCAUGUCCAAGAACAUGUGGUGAUGCGUAGUGUCUCAAAGAGCUUCCAUUUAUCUGUAUUUUCUUCUCCAGAAGAGUCAUUGUACAUGUGGCAAUCCUGCCUGCCCUUACAUAAGAUAUAGGACAUCUCUAGCAUGCAUGAUCCAGACAUUUUACACACCAUUGCAAUUAAAUUCUUGGCAACCUUGUCUGCUUACAACCUGAUGGAGUAUAACUUAGGGAGCCCAACCGCCAUGAAUUUUCGGAUUAAGACCAACUGAAGUUGGUUCGUUUUAAAAGAUGCGUGGCAGGGAGUGAGCAAGCAUGUAAAGCAUUGAGUCCUGUAUGGUGUAUUCGGUUUGUAGUAACUACAUUUAAGGCUUUCUUCUAAAGCUGUAGUAUUAAUGUAAUUGGCAAGCAUACAGUUGGCUAGUGAGAGAGAUUUGUCUA